CCUACGGGUGGCAGCAGUGGGGAAUAUUGGACAAUGGGCGAAAGCCUGAUCCAGCCAUGCCGCGUGUGUGAAGAAGGCCUUCGGGUUGUAAAGCACUUUCAGUGGGGAAGAAAGCCUUGGGGCUAAUACCCUCGAGGAAGGACAUCACCCACAGAAGAAGCACCGGCUAACUCCGUGCCAGCAGCCGCGGUAAUACGGAGGGUGCGAGCGUUAAUCGGAAUUACUGGGCGUAAAGCGCGCGUAGGCGGUCUGAUAAGCCGGUUGUGAAAGCCCCGGGCUCAACCUGGGAACGGCAUCCGGAACUGUCAGGCUAGAGUGCAGGAGAGGAAGGUAGAAUUCCCGGUGUAGCGGUGAAAUGCGUAGAGAUCGGGAGGAAUACCAGUGGCGAAGGCGGCCUUCUGGACUGACACUGACGCUGAGGUGCGAAAGCGUGGGUAGCAAACAGGAUUAGAAACCCUGGUAGUC
rnacentral:rRNA from 1 species